AUUAUCCUCCCAGUCCACAACGCUGAACCGUGGCUGGACGAAUGUUUGAGGACAACCUGAGGUCACUGCACUUGCAGGAGGGCCAGGACUUCCUUCACUUCAGCUGACGGACCCAUGGCAGCUGCUCCCAGUGCAUCCCAGGCCAGCAGGAGCUUUGUGAGCUGCAGGCAUGGCGAUGGUGCGCCUGUUCCACACCCAGCAGGCGCAACCAGAGUCUCGUGUGUGCCGACCACAGGAGCCAAGCCUUUUCCACUGUGUGGACUCAUGUGGCCAAGGCUAGGCCUGGUCACCCAGGACCCUCACCACGUGACCCCAGCCAAUCGGGACAGUUCAAGGAGGAGGAGACCCCUAUUACACAGGUUGGAAUAAAAUAUUUAAAUCUCGUAAAAA
rnacentral:lncRNA from 1 species